rnacentral:rRNA from 1 species
AGCGGCGGACGGGUGAGUAACACGUGGGCAACCUGCCUGUAAGACUGGGAUAACUCCGGGAAACCGGAGCUAAUACCGGAUACUAUGUCAAACCGCAUGGUUUGACAUUCAAAGACGGUUUCGGCUGUCACUUACAGAUGGGCCCGCGGCGCAUUAGCUAGUUGGUGAGGUAAUGGCUCACCAAGGCGACGAUGCGUAGCCGACCUGAGAGGGUGAUCGGCCACACUGGGACUGAGACACGGCCCAGACUCCUACGGGAGGCAGCAGUAGGGAAUCUUCCGCAAUGGACGAAAGUCUGACGGAGCAACGCCGCGUGAGUGAUGAAGGUUUUCGGAUCGUAAAACUCUGUUGUCAGGGAAGAACAAGUGCCGGAGUAACUGCCGGCGCCUUGACGGUACCUGACCAGAAAGCCACGGCUAACUACGUGCCAGCAGCCGCGGUAAUACGUAGGUGGCAAGCGUUGUCCGGAAUUAUUGGGCGUAAAGCGCGCGCAGGCGGUUUCUUAAGUCUGAUGUGAAAGCCCCCGGCUCAACCGGGGAGGGUCAUUGGAAACUGGGAAACUUGAGUGCAGAAGAGGAGAGUGGAAUUCCACGUGUAGCGGUGAAAUGCGUAGAGAUGUGGAGGAACACCAGUGGCGAAGGCGACUCUCUGGUCUGUAACUGACGCUGAGGCGCGAAAGCGUGGGGAGCGAACAGGAUUAGAUACCCUGGUAGUCCACGCCGUAAACGAUGAGUGCUAAGUGUUAGAGGGUUUCCGCCCUUUAGUGCUGCAGCUAACGCAUUAAGCACUCCGCCUGGGGAGUACGGUCGCAAGACUGAAACUCAAAGGAAUUGACGGGGGCCCGCACAAGCGGUGGAGCAUGUGGUUUAAUUCGAAGCAACGCGAGAACCUUACCAGGUCUUGACAUCCUUUGCCACUUCUAGAGAUAGAAAGGUUC